GACGGAGGAUGCAAGCGUUAUCCGGAAUUAUUGGGCGUAAAGGGUGCGUAGGUGGUCAGACAAGUCCCAUGUCAAAGCAUGGUGCUUAACGCCAUAAAGGCGUGGGAAACUGUGUGACUAGAGUACAGCAGGGGCAGGAGGAAUUCCCGGUGUAGCGGUGAAAUGCGUAGAUAUCGGGAAGAACACCAGUGGCGCAAGCGUUCUGCUGGGCUGUAACUGACACUGAGGCACGAAAGCUAGGGGAGCGAAAGGG
rnacentral:rRNA from 1 species